rnacentral:rRNA from 1 species
UACAGAGGUGGCAAGCGUUGUUCGGAAUUACUGGGCGUAAAGGGCGCGUAGGCGGUCUAGCAAGUCCCGUGUGAAAUCCCUCGGCUCAACUGAGGAACUGCACGGGAAACUGCUUGGCUUGAGUUCGGGAGAGGGAAGCGGAAUUCCGGGUGUAGCGGUGAAAUGCGUAGAUAUCCGGAGGAACACCGGUGGCGAAGGCGGCUUCCUGGACCGACACUGACGCUGAGGCGCGAAAGCUAGGGGAGCAAACGGG